UCAGCUUCCUGAAUUGUUUGAUUCAUCUUGGUUACCACAGUCUGAGUUUUCUCUGGAUCCUGUUACUGAUAAGCAUCCUCCAGCACCAGUUGUGGACUUGCCAGAUGUUGAAGUAGCAGAUAACAUACCUGGUCAUACUGAGUCUAUGGAUACAGUGUCAAUUGAUGAAAAUGAUCGAGAAGAGGUCACAAUGGCAUCUCCAGAAAAUUGCC
rnacentral:lncRNA from 1 species